rnacentral:rRNA from 1 species
UAAUACUGGAUAGGCAAUUAUUCCUGUAAUGGUUUUUUGUUUAAAUGUUUUUUCGCCUAAGGAUGGGUCUGCGGCCGAUUAGGUAGUUGGUUAGGUAAUGGCUUACCAAGCCUUUGAUCGGUACGGGUUGUGAGAGCAAGAGCCCGGAGAUGGAACCUGAGACAAGGUUCCAGGCCCUACGGGGUGCAGCAGGCGCGAAACCUCCGCAAUGUGAGAAAUCGCGACGGGGGGAUCCCAAGUGCCAUUCUUAACGGGACGGCUUUUCUUUAGUGUAAAAAGCUUUUGGAAUAAGAGCUGGGCAAGACCGGUGCCAGCCGCCGCGGUAACACCGGCAGCUCUAGUGGUAGCAAUUUUUAUUGGGCCUAAAGCGUUCGUAGCCGGUUUAAUAAGUCUCUGGUGAAAUCCUGUAGCUUAACUGUGGGAAUUGCUGGAGAUACUAUUAGACUUGAGACCGGGAGAGGUUAGAGGUACUCCCAGGGUAGAGGUGAAAUUCUGUAAUCCUGGGAGGACCGCCUGUUGCGAAGGCGUCUAACUGGAACGGUUCUGACGGUGAGGGACGAAAGUUAGGGGCGCGAACCGGAUUAGAUACCCGGGUAGUCCUAACUGUAAACGAUGCGGACUUGGUGUUG